CACGUAGGGCGCAAGCGUUGUCCGGAAUUAUUGGGCGUAAAGAGCUCGUAGGCGGUCUGUCGCGUCUGCUGUGAAAACUCGGGGCUUAACCCCGGGCCUGCAGUGGGUACGGGCAGACUAGAGUGCGGUAGGGGAGACUGGAAUUCCCGGUGUAGCGGUGAAAUGCGCAGAUAUCGGGAGGAACACCAGUGGCGAAGGCGGAACUCUGGGCCGGAACUGACGCUGAGGAGCGAAAGCGUGGGGAGCGAACAGG
rnacentral:rRNA from 1 species